GAUAAAGUUGCCUGUCCAGCCCGGCGGGGGGUUGCGGCGUGGAGGAGAAGGAUUUCAGUAUCCUGAGGAUAGAAGCAUGGAUAGGUGACCGCUUUGCCCCACUCUCCCCUAAUGGCUAAUCCGUUCCCUUCGUAACGUUCCGGAUUCCCCCUCCCCGUCUGACCGACGGUGCUGCCCCGCAGCGGACGCGGCGCGAAUUAUAAGUGCGGGCGGCUUCCACAUCAACCAGCGCCGAGUCACGUCCGCCGAGGAGGUGGUGUCGGCCGAUAGUCACGUGCUGCCCAGCGGCCUAACGCUGCUGAGAGUCGGAAAGAAGAACUACUAUAUCGUCAAAUGGGUGUAAAGAACUGAGGACAAUACUAAGAAGAGUCACCGCUCGUGUAUCGGAUAACGCCACGGUGUUUCGGAUUAUCGUGACACGGAGGGCAGUUUGUUGAUCUCGACAUGAAACGUCUGUCCUUAUAAACAUGAAAUGCUCCGGGCAAUGCGUCAUUACUGUUGUUAUCAACAUACAGUUUGUUUUGUACGUGCAUGUGCUAUGAACUUUCUGAAAUACAAUCGGUGAUAUUUA